rnacentral:rRNA from 1 species
AUGAACGCUGGCGGCGUGCCUAAUACAUGCAAGUCGAGCGAACAGACGAGGAGCUUGCUCCUCUGACGUUGGCGGCGGACGGGGGAGUAACACGUGGAUAACCUACCUAUAAGACUGGGACAACUUCGGGAAACCGGAGCUAAUACCGGGUAAUAUAUUGAACCGCUUGGUUCAAUAGUGAAAGACGGGUUUGCUGUCACUUAUAGAUGGAUCCGCGCCGCAUUAGCUAGUUGGUAAGGUAACGGCUUACCAAGGCAACGAUGCGUAGCCGACCUGAGAGGGUGAUCGGCCACACUGGAACUGAGACACGGUCCAGACUCCUACGGGAGGCAGCAGUAGGGAAUCUUCCGCGAUGGGCGAAAGCCUGACGGAGCAACGCCGCGUGAGUGAUGAAGGUCUUCGGAUCGUAAAACUCUGUUAUUAGGGAAGAACAAAUGUGUAAGUAACUAUGCACGUCUUGACGGUACCUAAUCAGAAAGCCACGGCUAACUACGUG